rnacentral:rRNA from 1 species
CCUACGGGAGGCAGCAGUGGGGAAUAUUGCACAAUGGGCGAAAGCCUGAUGCAGCAACGCCGCGUGAGCGAUGACGGCCUUCGGGUCGUAAAGCUCUGUUCUUAAGGAAGAUAAUGACGGUACUUGAGGAGGAAGCCCCGGCUAACUACGUGCCAGCAGCCGCGGUAAUACGGAGGGGGCUAGCGUUAUCCGGAAUUACUGGGCGUAAAGGGUGCGUAGGUGGUUUCUUAAGUCAGAGGUAAAAGGCUACGGCUCAACCGUAGUAAGCCGUUGAAACUGGUAAACUUGAGUGCAGGAGAGGUGAGUGGAAUUCCUGGUGUAGCGGUGAAAUGCGUAGAUAUUAGGAAGAACACCAGUUGCGAAGGCAGCUCUCUGGCCUGUAACUGACGCUGAGGCACGAAAGCGUGGGGAGCGAACAGGAUUAGAUACCCUUGUAGUC